UACAGAGGUCCCAAGCGUUGUUCGGAUUCAUUGGGCGUAAAGGGUGCGUAGGUGGCGCGCUAAGUCAGGUGUGAAAUUUCGGAGCUUAACUCCGAAACUGCAUUUGAUACUGGCGUGCUUGAGGACUGGAGAGGAGACUGGAAUUCACGGUGUAGCAGUGAAAUGCGUAGAGAUCAUGAGGAAGACCAGUGGCGAAGGCGGGUCUCUGGACAGUUCCUGACACUGAGGCACGAAGGCCAGGGGAGCAAACGGG
rnacentral:rRNA from 1 species